AACAAACGCUGGCGGCGUGCCUAACACAUGCAAGUCGUACGAGAAAGUCGGCUUCGGCCGAUGAGUACAGUGGCGCACGGGUGAGUAGCGCGUGGGUAAUCUGCCCCCCGGUCAGGAAUAACCCGCCGAAAGGCGGGCUAAUACCCGAUAACACUGACGCUCCGCGGAGCGUCUUUCAAAGGAGGCCUCUGUUUACAAGCUUUCGCCGGAGGAUGAGCCCGCGUACCAUUAGCUAGUUGGCAGGGUAAUGGCCUACCAAGGCUGCGAUGGUUAGCUGGUCUGAGAGGGUGGCCAGCCACACUGGAACUGAGACACGGUCCAGACUCCUACGGGAGGCAGCAGUGAGGAAUCUUGCGCAAUGGGGGAAACCCUGACGCAGCAACGCCGCGUGAGUGAGGAAGGCCUUCGGGUCGUAAAGCUCUGUCAGAUGGGAAGAAAUGGGUGGGGGCGUAAUAUCGCCCAUCCUUGACGGUACCAUCAGAGGAAGCACCGGCGUAACUCCGUGCC
rnacentral:rRNA from 1 species